rnacentral:rRNA from 1 species
UCUGGUUGAUCCUGGCAGAGGUCACUGCUAUCGGUGUUCGUCUAAGCCAUGCGAGUCAUAUGUUCUUCGUGAACAUGGCGUACUGCUCAGUAACACGUGGAUAACCUGCCCUUGGGUUCGGCAUAACCCCGGGAAACUGGGGAUAAUACCGGAUAACGCAUAUAUGCUGGAAUUCUUUAUGCGUAAAAUGGAUUCGUCCGCCCAAGGAUGGGUCUGCGGCCUAUCAGGUAGUAGUGGGUGUAAUGUACCUACUAGCCGACGACGGGUACGGGUUGUGAGAGCAAGAGCCCGGAGAUGGAUUCUGAGACAUGAAUCCAGGCCCUACGGGGCGCAGCAGGCGCGAAAACUUUACAAUGCGGGAAACCGUGAUAAGGGGACACCGAGUGCCAGCAUCAUAUGCUGGCUGUCCGGGUGUGUAAAAUACACCUGUUAGCAAGGGCCGGGCAAGACCGGUGCCAGCCGCCGCGGUAACACCGGCGGCCCGAGUGGUGAUCGUGUUUAUUGGGUCUAAAGGGUCCGUAGCCGGUUUGGUCAGUCCUCCGGGAAAUCUGACGGCUUAACCGUUAGGCUUUCGGGGGAUACUGCCAGACUUGGAACCGGGAGAGGUAAGAGGUACUACAGGGGUAGGAGUGAAAUCUUGUAAUCCCUGUGGGACCACCUGUGGCGAAGGCGUCUUACCAGAACGGGUUCGACGGUGAGGGACGAAAGCUGGGGGCACGAACCGGAUUAGAUACCCGGGUAGUCCCAGCCGUAAACGAUGCUCGCUAGGUGUCAGGCAUGGCGCGACCGUGUCUGGUGCCGCAGGGAAGCCGUGAAGCGAGCCACCUGGGAAGUACGGCCGCAAGGCUGAAACUUAAAGGAAUUGGCGGGGGAGCACAACAACGGGUGGAGCCUGCGGUUUAAUUGGACUCAACGCCGGACAACUCACCGGGGGCGACAGCAAUAUGUAGGUCAGGCUGAAGACCUUGCCUGAAUCGCUGAGAGGAGGUGCAUGGCCGUCGCCAGUUCGUACUGUGAAGCAUCCUGUUGAGUCAGGCAACGAGCGAGACCCA